AUGCUCGCUUCAGCAGCAUAUAUACUAAAAUUGGAAUGAUACAGAGAAGAUUAGCAUGAUCCCUGUGCAAGGAUGACACACAAAUUCAUGAAGCAUUCCAUAUUUUU
ensembl:snRNA U6 U6 spliceosomal RNA